UCAUGACCAUCAAAGACAGUUUAUAAAUUUAAAAUAUUAGUCAAACAAAUAAAUUGAUACUUUAAAAACUUAUAUGAGUACUAGAUAAGGUUCGCCCAAAUAGACGGGUAUAUAAAUGUAAACUUUUCUUAAUAGUAUUUGAAUUUUGAAUAUAGUAAUUUAUUCUUUCUUCUUGAUAUUUAAUUU
rnacentral:sRNA from 1 species